AAGUUUUUAAUAGAACCCCGCUGGUGCUGCUCCUGGAUCUGCUCUCGUUGUCGAGCCAACAAAACCCCAGUCAAAGCACGAAAUACUUGCGUUGUUCUAAACUGCAAGCAUCGACAUCCGGUGUCCGUUGACCGUUCUGAGAUCAGCCCUGUUUCGAUUCCACAGAAUUAAAAAAAAAAAAGAAAAAAAGAAAAGGUUUGACGGGUCAUUGGCCACCAAACCGGAAAUUGCCAUCCGCCAUCUUGAUACUCCCAAAACAACCAUGCCGACCUCUGCAGCGACAGCAAAUAACUGCCGUGGGAAAACAUUCCACAGAAAAAUCCAUGCAACAACAAAGAGGGAAGUGGAAUGAAGUUAGAUAUCGAUGGAUUGUGUAAGGAGUGUCGUAACCACAACGCGGAGUCGGACCCCAAAUGCACCACUCGGGAAACGUGGAGGCAGUCCGGGAAAUAUCUUUAUUCAGUCGAGGAAGUGCGGGAACGAAGCGUCGAUGGCAACGAUCUGGCAAAGCCACACCGUUCCACCGGGUCCUACAAGUACUGCAGGUGAGGUGAGGAUGUGGCGCAGGUGUGCGGCUCCUGAUGACUGCAGGUGUGUCGGGGGACCGGCAGGAUCAGGACAAGAGUCGCUGACGGUGUAGUGGUACAGAUGCCUGACUUCGGUGCGAGCAGCGUGGGCUCGAUUCCCGCUCAGUGAUGGCGUCGAGAUCUCACCUGCGAC